rnacentral:tRNA from 1 species
GAGGGUUUUUCUUAUUACUGCUAAUAAUAUUUUGGAUAGAUUAUACUAUCCAAUCCUCU